rnacentral:rRNA from 1 species
AACGAACGCUGGCGGCAUGCCUAACACAUGCAAGUCGAACGAUUGCCUUCGGGUGAUAGUGGCGCACGGGUGCGUAACGCGUGGGAAUCUGCCCUUAGGUUCGGAAUAACAGCUGGAAACGGCUGCUAAUACCGGAUGAUAUCGCGAGAUCAAAGAUUUAGCGCCUGAGGAUGAGCCCGCGUUGGAUUAGGUAGUUGGUGGGGUAAAGGCCUACCAAGCCGACGAUCCAUAGCUGGUCUGAGAGGAUGAUCAGCCACACUGGGACUGAGACACGGCCCAGACUCCUACGCGAGGCAGCAGUGGGGAAUAUUGGACAGUGGGCGCAAGCCUGAACCAGCAAUGCCGCGUGAGUGAUUAAGGCCCUAGAGUUGUAAAGCUCUUUUACCCGGGAAGAUAAUGACUGUACCGGGAGAAUAAGCCCCGGCUAACUCCGUG